rnacentral:lncRNA from 1 species
GGGAGGGAAGGGAACAGAGGGAGGGAGGAGGCGGGCAGGGAGAGAGAGGUAGAGGGUGUCUGUGCUGCGUGCGUGUGGCUCGGGCGGGGAGAGGAGGAAGCCAGCGGAGCAGGCGGUGGGAUCCCGUGUGCCCUGCAAAGGUGUCAGCCCCGAGGGGACUGAGCUUGCCAGUCCACCUGGAGCGAGGUAGACUUGGGGGAGGCAGGCAAGGUCAGUUGCUAAGUGGCUCCCUCCUCGGGGAUGGUGAGGACGUCUGCUGCUCUCCAGUGCCUGCCUGGUGCCUCUGGGUCACACUCGGCUGUCUCCUCCCAGACACUUGAUUUUUCGAAAGGGACACACCUUUCUGCAGGAAGGAAGACUGGCCAGACUGCGAGCGGUAGGUUGUGCCACUCAGCAUGUUUAUGCAGCAGAACUGCUUAGAGAGGAGGGAGACGGGUUGCUUGGGCUGGCUGAUUCAUCUGCACUAGGGAAUGCUUGAUUUUAACUGUCAGUUAAAAGAGGCACUGUUGCCCAGGCUAAGGUAGCAGUUUAAAAUGCCAUGUUCUAGGCGUCUGCAUUUGUUUGAUGUGGUUUCCGUGUUUGUGUCGCUUAGAGAAGCCAGGCAGGGCUCACCUUUACAUAACCUGCAGCUCCUAUUUUCCUUCUUCUUCUUUUCUCCCUCCCUAAGCAGUUUCCACCCCAUCUGUCCAGCAUUCCCGCCCUCCUCCGCACCCCGGGGAAGCGUGGCCCGUCUUCACCGUGAGGCUUUUGCCUCCUAAGCCUGGAUUUCCGGCUGGUUCGCUGGGGGUGGCUGUGGAUGCCCAGGCAGACUGACCCGGCAGGAGUGUUUGUGCAUGGGAUCGGAGACCAUGGCAGUGCAGCUGGUGCCGGACUCUGCUCUCAGCCUGCUGAUGAGCUGCUGAAGAUGUACUUCCUGACAAUGCCUCUGGGCUGUGCCACCACGACAGCCAACCGACGCUGCCACCGUUGGUACACAGACUUCAUCUCUGGCUCCUGUUCUGCCAGCCUCUCACGUGAUCUUCAGAGCCUCGCUGGUGGACACAGCCGCUCAGUGUCAUGGCUGUGACAGUCAACUCCACCCGCACAGCUAACAGCUACCCCGAGUUCCUCUCCAGGAGCCCAGUCCCCUCUUCUAAGCACUGCGUGUAUUUUUAAAUUUUUUUCUACCAGAAGACAUCUUUGAAUUUUUGGUGAUCUAUCCUCUAUGGCUUUAGACCAGCCUCCCGAGGCCCACUUAAAUCAGGAAAUCUGCACCGUGUGCCAGGGCUUUGGAAACCUGCCUUUGCCACAACACAGUAUUCUGAUUUUCCUAGUGCUUCUUCCACUUAGGAGGGUUCUUUGUGCCUAAGAAUGCUUUAUAGAUGAUGCUUAGUCACAUACACCCUGAGAGUGUCUAGGAGUAAAUGGAAGAAUAAAAGGAAUCUAUCUCUAAAUCCUUCUGGGGUCUCUCAGGAAGGAAGACCCUUAUGCAAAUGGGUCUUCAGCUUAUCGGAAAUAGACAUGCAAAUCAGAUCCUCCAGUGGCUUUGGAGGAUAUCGUAUUUCGCACAUAAGAGGAAAAGUAGGAUGAAAGGUUAUUUUUGAGCCAUAUGACUGAGAAAAACCUGUCCAGACAGACUCUGGCAAAGGGUGAUCAAUGCAUGGAAUGGCCUUGGUUUGGUUUAAUAAAGAAAAAGCAAGCUAAAUCAAGGCCCAGAGAAUGCAGAUUCAAAGCAUUCCUUUCUCCUGGGCAUUGUUUUCUUUCAUUCCAAGCCCUCUGGUUGCAUAACUGUCUAAACAUAUUCAGACAAGAAAGGAAACAUCCUGAACCACGGUAGUGUUCGUUUGCACUCCAUUGUACUUACAUGGCUUCAUCCUGGCAGUCCUUAUAUGAAGGUCCUGUAAGGAAAUCCAGCAUUGCCUGAGAAAAAAAGGGAGAAAGAAAGAGACAGACAGAAAGGGGAGGGGAGGGGAAGAGAGGAAAAGAUUCUUUUAUUCCCUAAAUUUCUUUCAUUUCUGUCCGAUGGCCCCUGUGCCACACACAGGGCUGCUGUGAAAGUCAGGGCAUUUCUUUCACUGGGCGGUGAAAGGGAGGUUGUGCUGGUGCCCGUGGGCACAUACGCCCCCUCAGUGCUCAGAGCCCUCCCGGGACAUGAGCCCAGUGCCCUACAGAGCGCUUCGAAUUCCCUUCAAUUAGAAAACAAUUACCUUUUAAAAAACAUUUGAGAAACAAUAAUUUUCCUAUUUUUAAACAUAGUAGGAUAGAAAGUUGGCUAAGAAAAGCAAGGAAAUAACCAAGAUCACUCAAGAAACUAGAAGCAGGAAACAGGCUUCGGUAGAAGUCUUCGGCCUGGCUUUCAAAGGCCCAGCGGCCUUCCCCAGCCCAUGCCCAGGUAAUCAUGCUGGGAACAGUAGCAGAAUUUAAAUAGAGCCCUUUCUCCACAGCAAUGCUUCACACUGCUGAUUUCUCCUGGUUCUUAUGAUUCAUUACCAUUUGCUUAAGGUCAAUACCACUCACAUUCAAAGUUUGGUUUCUCAGGUACAGGCUGAGGCUCUGAGUUAGAAAAAUCGUAUCUUAUUAGAAUUGAGGCAGAACUAUUUCUCAUGCCUGAUCCAAUGCAGCUGACUUUGUGUCCUCAGGCACUGAGGUCUCUUUUUCUAUUUACAAAAAGAAAAAGAUGGCAGUUUUGCUUUUAGGGAACAUAUUUAGACACCAGCGCUAAGAUAUGGCCUGCAAAACAGUACAUUCUAGGGUUUGGUUCAAAAGAUGCCCAUCUAUAGCUAUCAUUAAUUCCAUUAUCUUGACACAGUAAGAAACUGAAAGGAGCAAUUAUUUUCCUUUAUGCCUCAGGUUGAAAGUGACCAAGGAAACUUACAAUACAGGAUUGAUCUGAAAGGUCCUCAGCUCUGAAAAUAAUGCAGACUAAGGUGUGGUUAUUGUCGGAAAAGUCAUAAUCUACGCCAAAUUCCAUUAGGUGAUCCAACCACUGUGAAUUAAAGGAACCAUCAAGUACUGUGCAGGUUUGAUCGAUUUCAAUGAACAAACAUUAUAUAACUUAAAACAAUGAACUUUCAUAAUACACUAAAAAAGCUUUCCCGUGGAUGUUUAGAAUUAAUACACAAUAUUUUUAGAGACCACUAAUGUUGUAAAGAGAACUGUGCCUCUCGACUAUUUCAUUCAUACAUGCCAUAUAAAUGUUUUUAAAUGGGUCAAAGUAUAAAUUAAGUUUUAAAUUAAGAAAAACAGAAUCUGAAACCAUGUGACCUGGAGAUCAUUUGUCAGCAUGCGUCAGUCUUCAUGCUUUCUUUUACCCUCAAAGGUCAUACUUUCUGCCUCUGCCCUCCUCCUGCCUGGUUAGUCUCUCCACCCCACCAUCUCCACAGCCCCAGCCCCAACAAGCCCUCUUCCGUGUGGCCCCAAAGCCAGCUUCCAGGAGGAGCCCCUGGCCUGGAAGGGCAGCUCAGUGCUAGGGCGUGUGCUUAGCACACACAAGGCCUCGGCUACCAUGAUUGGCCAAUUCUCUGCUGAUUCUGACCCAGCGUGAUUGGAGCUGUUUUUCACUAUAGUCAGCUACAGUCCUUGGAGUUCCUAGGAACCAUGACCAUGACCUGUGAGCUUCAGG